rnacentral:rRNA from 1 species
UACAGAGGGUGCGAGCGUUAAUCGGAAAUACUGGGCGUAAAGCGCACGUAGGCGGCGCAGCAAGUCAGGGGUGAAAUCCCGGGGCUCAACCCCGGAACUGCCCUUGAAACUGCAGUGCUAGAAUCUUGGAGAGGCGAGUGGAAUUCCGAGUGUAGAGGUGAAAUUCGUAGAUAUUCGGAAGAACACCAGUGGCGAAGGCGACUCGCUGGACAAGUAUUGACGCUGAGGUGCGAAAGCGUGGGGAGCAAACAGG